AAAUUCCCAUGAUCCCAUCUCUGUCACACGUUAUCUUGUUCAACUUGUAGUGUGUGAACUGGUUGGCAGCAAAGACAAAGGAUGUUAAAACAAAAACCUACAGAAAGACAUACAAAAAA